AUUGAACGCUGGCGGCGUGCUUAACACAUGCAAGUCGAACGAUGAAGCCGGAGCUUGCUCUGGUGAAUUAGUGGCGAACGGGUGAGUAACACGUGAGUAACCUGCCCUUGACUCUGGGAUAACUGCGGGAAACUGUAGCUAAUACCGGAUACGACCCUCGGAGGCAUCUCCUGGGGGUGGAAAGAAUUUCGGUCAAGGAUGGACUCGCGGCCUAUCAGCUAGUUGGUGAGGUAAAGGCUCACCAAGGCGACGACGGGUAGCCGGCCUGAGAGGGUGACCGGCCACACUGGGACCGAGACACGGCCCAGACUCCUACGGGAGGCAGCAGUGGGGAAUAUUGCACAAUGGGCGCAAGCCUGAUGCAGCAACGCCGCGUGAGGGAUGACGGCCUUCGGGUUGUAAACCUCUUUUAGUAGGGAAGAAGCGAAAGUGACGGUACCUGCAGAAAAAGCACCGGCUAACUACGUGCCAGCCGCCGCGGUAA
rnacentral:rRNA from 1 species